rnacentral:rRNA from 1 species
UACGUAGGGUGCAAGCGUUGUCCGGAAUUAUUGGGCGUAAAGAGCUCGUAGGCGGUUUGUCGCGUCUGCUGUGAAAAGUCCGGGGCUCAACUCCGGAUCUGCGGUGGGUACGGGCAGACUAGAGUGAUGUAGGGGAGACUGGAAUUCCUGGUGUAGCGGUGAAAUGCGCAGAUAUCAGGAGGAACACCGGUGGCGAAGGCGGGUCUCUGGGCCGAUACUGACGCUGAGGAGCGAAAGCGUGGGGAGCGAACAGG